GGUGAGGCCUUAAUUAGUGGGACACGCAAGAGACGUGACGCUUCUCCUUAAGCUUCGCGCUCAGAUGCACGGUGUAUGUGAAUGGAGAAGCAGUGGAAUGAGAGAGUAGGCCUUCUGAUGUCUGCAUUUACUAAUAUUGCCUCCAGCUACUCUGUUUAAGGAAUACAUUCUUCAUCCCAAUCGUGGUGUCGAUGUGUUUAUGUGGUGUCCGGAGAUUACCACUUGAAGUCUGCUACACUGGUGUUGAUUAAGUCCCUGCCAUCACUACUACUGAUUAGAUACCAUCCACUGUGCUUAUAAGCCGGACUGUGGGUAUACUUCUCAUGAAAACAGUGCAUCUGUAUUAGACAGAGAUUAUCGUAUGAUGUGCAGUUGGACAGAUUGGUGCAGCAGGACAGCGAUAAUGCAUCGUCAUCUGAGGAAAUCAUAAGAGGAGCAGGAAUUGCACCCUCUGGCCUCACUGCAGGAAGGCACCGAGCUCUUUCUGGGCAUCUGAGAACGUGUGUGCAUGUGUGGAAGAAGAUUCAGGACCUGUUUGGAGAUGGUGAUCCAAUUGUCAGUGGAAAUGAUUAGGAUGGGCUUGGUGGUGAGGAACAUAUCUCCACUCCUUCCUGCAGCAUCUUCUGUUCCUCAGAGCUCCUCGAGAUGCUGACAGCAAGCCACAUUUUGAGCCAGAAACGUAGCCAGCAUCUGGAAAGUGGUCUGGUGAGUCCAAUUAGAGAUAAAGUGUCACAUCUUUCUUCACAGAAAGCAUAUGCAGAGAUUGGACAUGAUUUUGAGACCAGAAAAAAAAAGACACCUUAAAUGUCUCUCACACACGAACACACUCAACCAGAGAAACAAAUCAGUAAAUUUUAAAGAAAAAAAAAAUAGGUUACAAGGGUAGGAUUUGGUAGAGGUUUAUUUGCAUUUCAUAUUGCUUUAUUUACUGUCAUUACUAGGUUCUAAGUACAUGUAACAUAUUACAAAAACCAUGUUAAAGUGUUUCCAAAAUGUAUUUAGGUUUGACGGUACGUUCCUCUAUUUUAACGAGUUUACACUUGUGAUAUGCUUUAAUAUUUGCACACGUAUGCAUUAGUUAACAACACCUUUUCUAUAUUUUCCAGGAUGCAGAGUGGCUGAGCUGGGUGACAGGGCAGUGGUCUGCAUACAAAGGGAUACAACCUCGAGUAUGCAGAUCACUCUUAACAUCAUGGGUUAACAACACUAUGUUAACCCACCGCCCACCUGCCCCUCCUAUCCACAAGCUUAGUUGGCAGUUAGGAAAGUGGUGGAAUGGCUUGAAAUCUAGAAGGUUUUAGACAGGCCAGGUGCUGAUUAACGUAAGAUAAAGGUAACCGUUAGGCUAUGUUUAGCCUAAUUGAAUGUAUGGACAUUAAAAAUGACCUUGACAUGACAUCAUAACAAGCAGUCCAGCUGGGACGAGCUCAGUUUAUGUAGGCUAACAUGUAAGGGUGGCCAUGCUAAUAACGCACCUAAAAGCUGUCACAAAGAACCGGCAAAAGUAAUGAUAAUGAAUAUUUUAUAUUUUAUGAAUAGAAUUAUUAAUAAACAAGUGUUUUCUGUAUCAAUGUCGUGUCGACUGCAAAGAUAAAGUUGACGAUGCUGUCUUGCGAUCUUCGCAGUAGUGAACGCGCCAGAGAAAUGCACAUUUCAUACGGAUUAACGUUACAUAAGCAGAGAGCCGUCUGUUUUCUUUCGUUUUGAAGUGUUCUUGAAGAGUUCUCUUGAGUCGGUUAACGCGUAUACGUGUUAUGAGUCAUUUUCUCCUGAUAACCCUGAAAAUAACUUAAAUUACGCUUUCAGUUUUGAUCGUACAAAUAAGAGCAAAAUCGAAUAUGUAAAGGGUCUACUUUUAUUUGUAUACAGAUAUAAUAACAACAAAACUUUGUGCACUCAUAAAAUAAAGAUAACUAACAAAGUGUGCUGUCUGCAGCCUUUGUCUGCUGUGAUAUUCAUUUACAAACACGUCAUUAAAAUGAACUGUAACUCAGUGAAAACUCAAUGAAGAGACAUGAUAGAUAUAUCUAUAGAAAUAUUGACAUGUCUACUUUUAAACUAAACAAGUGUAGUACUUUGUAGAAAUUUCCUCAAGGUUGGCAGGUAUGCAUGAGGAUCAAGCUGUAAGCUUUACCAUUAUACAAACUAGGGAUGCACCGAAUCCAGGAUUCGGAUUCGGCCGAAUACUGGGCUUUUUGACGGGGUUCGGUUUCGGCCGAACCCUAGUUUUUUGUUUUUUAGGCUUGCGCUAUGCUGGUCGACAUCACACGCCCGUUGAUUGCGUGAAGGUGUUUAUAUGAGGAGGACAAGGCCCGACAGUUCGCUCUAAACUAAACUGUUCCGGAAUCUUGAACGUCUGGGAAGAUUUAUACCGUAGCAAUACAGAGCCAGCCAGUCACAUCGGGUGCUGACGUGGAGAUAAGCGUUUUUUUCGGUGAGCCUUUGAUUCCUCUUAGAGAGGAUCCUCUUCAGUGGUGGAAGACAAACCAGCAAUCUGGAUUCAGUUCAUCCCUAAUACAAAUUGAUGAUUUCAUACCAACAUUGAUUUACAUUUAAUAACUCUUUGGUCUUUUUUCAUAGUGCUUGGAGCUGUAAUUCUCAACAAUCAAACCUGAGAUCAUUCAGGUAGGAAAAACUGCAAGAAUUGUCUCGUCGUCAAGCGUGGAUGUUCAGAAUGUCUCACCUGACGUGAAUCGGCCUAUACAGAUCCAUGUGCAUGUGUACCACGUAUUUGUUGAAUAAAGAAAUAAAAAAACCUUUAGGACAUCGUUCUCAUUUUGUAUAUUGACACGUGUCAUAACUUUGCUCCUUGUUUGUUAUAUGAGAUCAGUGUCAAUGUUUUCUAACUGUUCAAAGACACACUAACUUUAUUAAACUGAAUGUAUAUUUAACAUAUUUAUACUGGUAUUCGUUUUUCA